rnacentral:tRNA from 1 species
UAGGAUCGGCUUCGGUGGUCUGAGUGCUGGGCUCUUGUCUUUCUCCUGGGAAUUUGGCUCAGGGGUAAAGGGGUCUAGACACAGUUGCUAUGUUUUAGAGUUUGCAUCGGUAGUUUGAUUUUUCUCGAGACAGGAAGAGGGGUCUCGUGGCAUUUAUGUUCUGGGCUAAUGCGUGACUGACUCCUGCGGAGUGGUCGAGGUCUCCUGAGUUAAUUUUGUUAAGAUUCUCCAGAAGGACUAGUAGAGUCAGGGAAUUGACUCCGAUAAGAGUCCUUGAGGCUUUCGCAGAGGUAAUAGUGUCCUACCGAAAGUCGUAGACGGCCCCAUUUUUUUCUCCUAAUAUUAGGAUAAUAUUUUAACUGGGUUGUGAGCGUUUAAGUACUCUCAACUGGGUGUGGUGGCGUCCGCUUUAGUUCCAGUGCUGGGGAAGAAGGAGCAGAUGGAUCUGUGAGUCUGAAGCCAAGGCUACCUAGAGAGACCCAGUCUCAAACAACCAAACAGAAAAUCUGCUACCCUGCCUGGAGUGCUUCCAUCGAAUCAAAUCUAUUAUAUUUUUAGGUAGGGUCUCACUGCGGCUGAGGCUAGCAUGUAGCCCAGGUUGGCCUCAAACUCAGAACAGUCUUUCUGCCACAGCCUUCGAAAUACUGGGAUUUUGGUCGUGAACCACCACAUGUAGUGAUAUGAUAGUUCUAUGGUACCGUUGUACUGGGCUAGGCCUCAGUUAAGGGAGUGGGGAGUGGAAAUGGAGAAAAGGUGUGAAAGUAAUCACAGUGUCUGCUGGCAGAGGCUACUGAUAAUUUAAGAUUAAUAGCGUUUGAGAGUUAAGAGACUGCAGAGAGCUCUGACUGUCUACUAUUUACCAUCUAAUAAGCCUGAUUUGGGCAGAAGAUAGCUUGAGCAUAGAAAACAAAAUCUGGCUUAGAGAUGGUAAAUGGUACAGUUGGCAGGAAGCUGGGAGGAUAUGUCUUGGGGAGCAGUGGCAAUAAAAUGUCCAUAAUGUGUGAAUUAAACAUUAGGAAUGUAAUAAUGCUUAAACCAAGGGUGUAUUUAUUUAAAUCAGGCUAGGCUAGUUUUCAUGACCACAUCUGAAAUGCCAGCAUUCCAGAGACGGAGGCAGAACAAUCAAGAGGCUGAGACUAGUCUGGGCUAUAUAGUAAUCCAACUUUAAGAAGAAUCAGGCUAUUGGUGUAGUUCAAUGAUAGAAGACGUGUUUAGCAUGGGCAGCAUUAGUUUAAUGCCAACAUAUGUUUGUUCUCCUAUGCUCACUCAUGUACAUAAGCAUUAGGGGCUGAGGAUGUACAUCAAAGGUAAAAACUCUAUUAGCAAGCAAGAGUUUUAGCCCCAUCACUGGAAAAAGAAAAUAGUUCAUAUAUAAUUUAAAAUAUAACCUUAACAAAUUUUGUAUUACUUAUAUUAAUAUUUCUGGCUUCAGUCCACUCUUUAGAAAUUGCCAGAAUGAUUCUAUUAGUGCACCUCUGCUCCUGUAUAACAUGAGGUGAGCAGCCUGCUCAAUUGAGAGCCAUUCUAAUUACCACAAUCCAACUGCAUUUUUUUGUCCUAUUUAAUUUCUGGCUGGGUUGCAUAUUAUAUCAUUCUUUCCUGGAAACUUUUGGAUUAGGAAGUUUCAGAGCAGAAGAUCUUAGUUUCAGGAGCACAUACAGAUGUGACUGAAAUGGAAGCCUGAACACUGGAGUGGGGGAGUGGGCAAUGAGUUGAAACCAGUUCACCCUGAUACUGAAUCCUGUUGAUUGCCCCUCAGAGGGAAAUCCAGUUAGUCCCAUAUGCAGUCCUAAAUCAAAAGUCAGCAUUUUGUAAGUGACUAAGGGCUCCUUGCUGAAGUAUCCAGGUUCUUGUGUCCUCCUACCUCAAAGAAUCUGACCAGUGACAUGUUGAAAUAGAAAUAGAAUAUUAGAAAAGGCAAGUGCUCUUAAUGGGUGUGGACCGGUGAGCUGAGAGAAAGCUCCCAAAUUGCUGGGCCAUGAGCCACUAUGACAUUUUCUAGGACAAUUACGAACUACCUGCCUUUCUCGGUUUAUAUAUGACUGAUUUGUUAAACGUGCUCCUUUUGCAAUUCCCUGGUGGGGAAGGGAAGGGUUUCCAGUCUUUGCCAACUGGGGCAGCUGCUGCUGGUGCUCCUUCUUCCUUCCUUUCUCCUCCCUUUCCCCUUUUCUUCCUCCUCCUUCCUUUUCUUUUUCCUUUUAUGUUAUUUUUUCAAGGCAGGGUUUCUAUGCAGACCAGGCUGGCCUCAUACUCAGAGAUCCACUUGCCCCUGCCUCCUUACUUAUUUUUAAAAUGCCUUGGCUACCUCAAAGGCUGGGCACUCCUAAGUCUUCACUUGCAACACCAGGCCCAAUGGGGAAGUGGCCACUGGUCACUUAGCUGAAGUCUCACAAGGCUGAUUGGCUUUAUCUCCUGCGUCCUGUCAUCCCUCCCCAAGUCGUGGAGAUUCUCCCGUGUUCCUCUCAGAGUACAAGCCUUUGCCCCACUCUGUGCCCACUGGUAUCUUUUUUUUUUUUUUCUCUUUAUUUUCGGAGCUGGGGACUGAACCCAGGGCCUUGUGCUUGCUAGGCAAACGCUCUACCACUGAGCUAAAUCCCCAACCCCCAUUGGUAUCUCUCUUGAUCAAAAGACCAGUUGGGGACAUGCAGAUUCCUGAAUCAAAGCAUUAGAACCAACCUACAACAUAGGUGGGACAGGGUCUCCUUUUAUAGCCCAGAUUGGUCUUGAAAUUGUUUUGCAGUGCUGGGCAUGGUGGUGCACACUUUGGAUCCCAGUACUUGAGAGGCAGAGGCAGGUGGAUGUCUGUUACUUUGAGGCCAGCAUAGUCUUCUAUGUUUGAGGACAGUCAGGGCUCUUACACAGAGAACUCUGUCCUGAAAACCCAAACCAAAAAAUAAAACAAAUUAAAAAUAAAAUUAUUGUGCAGCCAUGAAUGGC